CACGAAGUUAGCCGGAGCUUCUUCUCACGCUACCGUCAUUAUCGUCGCGUGCGAAAGAGUUUUACAACCCUAGGGCCUUCAUCACUCACGCGGCAUGGCUGGAUCAGGGUUUCCCCCAUUGUCCAAGAUUCCC
rnacentral:rRNA from 1 species